GUUAGAUACUAAAAGAGGAGAGAACACGAGGAGACAUGGAGAGAAACAACUAGGCCAUUGUGAUAGUAAUAAUGCGACUUAAGAAACCUAGCGCUGGUUUAGCGAAGCUAGAGAGAAGAAAGGAGAUAAAAUAAUAUAAUUGAAAAUGAAAAUAAAUAUGUAAAUGUGUGGAUGAAUUUGUAGGAAAAAAGUGUGUGAUGUAUACGUAUACAACUGAUGUGUA